rnacentral:rRNA from 1 species
UCUACAGUUAGCUUAAAAGAAGUUCCUUUGGCAACAUAUUAGUUAUUUCGAAAAGUAAGAAAUGAAGAACUGAAAAGGAAAAAACAACGUGAAAAAAAAAGUCUAGUUGUCGUUCCUUUUGUAUCAGGAUGAAGGGAAAAUUAUUUGUAUUUGAAACUUCCCGAAAGAAGAGGAUUUUUUUUGUUCUUAGGUUCUCAUUGAAUUGAGAUCUAAAAGGGCAAAAAGGAAGUAAAAAGUUACUCGUCUUUUUAUAUCUGGUUCCUUGGAAAAAUUAAUUUAAUUAUUCUUAAAACUUGUUUAUAGAAAGUAAACUUAAUUUAUGGUUUUAAGCAAAAUUUGGAGGGAUAAGCUUCCAAGUGAGGAGAAAAAUAGGAGAGAUUACUUACUGUCUUUUAAUCAGGAAAUAAAUAAAUUGAGUGGAUUUUAAAUAAAACUUAAUUAAUUAAGGAAUGUUAGUAAACUUCGUCAUAACAAAAAAAAUCCUUCAAUGAGUAUAGUAGUAAAUUUUAAGUAAGGAACUCGGCAAAAAUUAGGCUUGCAUGUUUAGUAAAAACAUCUCUUCUUGAUAUAAUAAGAGGUAGGAUCUGCUCCAUGCAUUUGUAAAUUGCCGCAGUAUCUUGACUGUGCUAAGGUAGCAAAAUAAUUUGGCUCUUCAUUAGAGUCUGGAAUGAACGAUUUGACAAAGUCUAUUCUGUCUCGCUUAUUAAAAUAGAAAUUGGAUUGUUUGUUAAAAUACAAACAUAAAAGAGAGGGACGAAAAGACCCUAUAGAUCUUUACUUUAUUACUAAAUAUUCCUUUGAGUUUUUAGUAAGUUAAGUUUACUUGGGAUAAGGCUGAACACGAAUUUUGGUAUUAGAAAAAGACGGAUUAGUCAAUGAAAUGAUUAAGAAUAAGAAAAGUUACCUUAGGGAUAACAGGACAAUUUCUUUACUCAGAACUUAUUAAUAAAGGAGUUUGUCACCUCGAUGUUGAAUUAAGUUUACUUUUGUUUGGAGAGGAAUAAAAAGUUAGUCUGUUCGACUAUUAAAAACUUACAUGAUUUGAGUUUAGACCGACGCGAGUCAGGUCAGAUUCUAUCUUCUCUUUUACAUUCUUGUCUUGUACGAAAGGACUGGCAGGUUAACUGAUGAUUAGUUUAAAAC